AGAACACAUGGAAAGGGGACCCUUGUACUCCCAGCUUUGGGGCAGGAAGAAGUAGGGGAAGGAAUUGAAAAUAACUCCUGCUGUGAAGACAGCACUCCUGGAUUUCUCAUGAUCCUCCAUCCCCCAAAGCUGCUAUUAACAGGAACUGGAGCAAUUCUUUUUCUAAAUGUUAAAUGUGUCUCCCCACAUAAAAGAAAGGAACUGUGUGAUAUAUUGUGGCACCAAACUUAGUAUCAAGUCCAGGCUGAGAAUCACGGGAACAUAAUUUGGAGGCAGAACUCUGCUUUCCCACCACUGUAUUCUUUUGGGGGAACUCCGAAGAAUUCCUAGAAAAAAAUGCUCUCAAGUAAAACAUGGUAAAAAAUCUGCCUGCAACGCAGAAGACCCGGCUUCCAUCCCUGAGUUGGGAUGUCUCCUCCCCGGCACUUCGUCACACAUAUAUGAAGGCUGGGAAAGCCCAAGAUCAAGACGACAACUGAUCUGACAUGUGUGCGGCGGCGGCGGAAGGCGCGACGGCAGAGGAAAACUUCUCGCUGCGGUGAGCGCUCAACCAGACUGCGCUGCGCCGCGCCGAGCCGGGGCCGCCGCUCCGGCCGCGGGAGCCUGACGUCUCCCCACUUCGUAUUGAUUUGGAGGAACUUGAGUGAGAGAGAAUCGUGUUUAUAAUGAUAUGAACACCUCUUUUUCCCUUUGGAGGGGACUUAGGAUGUGACUAUAUAAAACAAAACCCACUUUUGUCAUGUGUGCGUGACAGCUCCAACUGAGAAUCUUGCAAACUUUAUACACAAAACAAAGCCAUCACUGAUGUUACUGCCAGGAUGCAGGAGCUACUGGCCAGAGAUCCCCACUAAGAACUCACUCCCACAUUUCCAGAUGAGUGCUACGAGAUGAGGUUCUUAAACUAAGACUCCUAAUUUGGUGCCCUGCUAAAAGGAAAAACCAAGGCAACCAAAAAUAGACAUACACUGACUCCUUAUACAGUUGAGAAUUUUGACAGAAUAACAUGCAGAGGAGUGGAGAAUUCAAGGUGGGUAGGAAGACUGGGGGAGAAGACGAUGGCACCCCACUCCAGUACUUUUGCCUGGAAAAUCCCAUGGACGGAGGAGCCUGAUAGGCUCCAGUCCAUGGGGUCGCUAAGAGUCUGGCAUGGCUGAGUGACUUAACUUUCACUUUUCCCUUUCAUGCAUUGGAGAAGGAAAUGGCAACCCACUCCAGUGUUCUUGCCUGGAGAAUCCCAGGGACAGAGGAGCCUAGUGGGCUGCUGUCUAUGGGGUCGCACAGAGUCGGACACGACUGCAGUGACUUAGCAGCAGCAGCAGGAAGACUGGGAUCACAAACGAAUGCAACACACCUUGGCAAAAAUAAAACCCAUCUAAAAAGAACAGGCCAAAUAAAAUUAAAAAGUAAAUAAUUAAAAUAAAAAGAACAGGCCUUGGGACUUCCCCGGUGCUCCAGUGGUUAAGAAUCCACCUUGCAACGCAGGGGUUUGAUCCCUGGUUGGGGAACUAAGAUCCUGUAAGACACAGAGCAAUUUAGCCCAUGUACCACAACUGCUGAGCCUGUGCACCACAAUGAAAGAUCCUGCAUGUAGAAACUAAGACCCAGCAUGGUCAAAUAAAUAAAAUAGAUUAAUUUAAAAAAGAACAGGCCUGGUUUGCCUUCUCUUGCUUAGUAGAAUACACAGUUCUGGUCAUAAGAACUCUCCCAUAGAUAGAUGAGAUAAAUGUGGAGAUUAUCCUGCAUAAUCUGGAUGGCUCAUUGUUACCACAAGGUACUUACAAGGGAAAGAAGAAAGCAGGAGAGUCAGAGAAGACAUGACAUCAGAGGCAGAGCUGGGGAGAUGCAUCCUAAGGAAGGCUUCCCUAAUCAUUGCUGGUUUUGAAGAUGACGGGAGGUACCAUGAGUGAAGGGAGGCUGCAGCCCCCAAAAGAUGAGAAAGGCAAGAGAACAGUCUUUUCUGGAGCCUCCAGAAGGAAUCAGCCCUGUCCAUACCUUGAUUUUAGCCCAUGAGACCCACUGUCAGAUCACC
ensembl:lncRNA